rnacentral:rRNA from 1 species
CCUACGGGAGGCAGCAGUGAGGAAUAUUGGUCAAUGGACGAGAGUCUGAACCAGCCAAGUAGCGUGAAGGAUGACUGCCCUAUGGGUUGUAAACUUCUUUUAUAUGGGAAUAAAACGUUCCACGCCCCCCCCCCCCCCCCUCCCCCACCCCCCCCCCCCCCCUAACCCCCCGCCAGCAGCCGCGGUAAUACGGAGGCUCCGCGCGUUAUCCGGAUUUAUUGGGUUUAAAGGGAGCGUAGGUGGAUUGUUAAGUCAGUUGUGAAAGUUUGCGGCUCAACCGUAAAAUUGCAGAUGAAACUGGCAGUCUUGAGUACAGUAGAGGUGGGCGGAAUUCGUGGUGUAGCGGUGAAAUGCUUAGAUAUCACGAAGAACUCCGAUUGCGAAGGCAGCUCACUGGACUGCAACUGACACUGAGGCUCGAAAGUGUGGGUAUCAAACAGGAUUAGAUACCCGUGUAGUC